UACAGAGGGGGCAAGCGUUGUUCGGAAUUACUGGGCGUAAAGGGCGCGUAGGCGGCCUGUUAAGUCGGACGUGAAAUCCCUGGGCUCAACCCAGGAACUGCGUCCGAUACUGGCAGGCUUGAAUUCGGGAGAGGGAUGCGGAAUUCCAGGUGUAGCGGUGAAAUGCGUAGAUAUCUGGAGGAACACCGGUGGCGAAGGCGGCAUCCUGGACCGAUAUUGACGCUGAGGCGCGAAAGCCAGGGGAGCAAACGGG
rnacentral:rRNA from 1 species